GUAUAUAAAAAAAAUAACCAUGUUAAAAUAUAUUAUAUUUUCUUAAAUAGUACACAUUUUUACGAUACAUUUAUAAUGACAAAAAACCAACUAGUUCAUAUGACGACAACGAUAAUUAUUGUAUGAUGGUAGUUGUCUGAAGUCAUAAAAAGCUUAUCGGUAUGCUUAUUCAUUAGAGCGGUUCGAUUCCUGAAACUAUCUCUAGUCUGAUUAAGUGUGGUAACAGUUUAAGAUGAGUCAAAGAUUCUGGUUGAACAGUUCUCCUUCGACACUAACUGGAAGAAAUAAUUGUUUUAUCAUUUGUCUAAAUAGACUAGCUAGAAUGUGACCAGAGGAAGAUUAAAUGGACAUAUCAUAUAUUUCUCCAUGGACACUGUAAUCCAUGACGGAUUUUUGACACUAUAUUUGAAUAUUUGUUGUUGAAGUUAAUUGGAUUUUGUGCAAAACCCCUGGAAGAAUAUUCUGUAUCAGACUAACAGUAUAAACGCCACCCAGUAUUUCUGUUUACCUGCUGUUAAACAUCGUAGUAUCAUCUCCAAUCUCUUUAUAUUUUGUUUAAUUUUAUUUAAAAAAGUCGCAUUAUAAUUUAUUAUUAAUCAACUGUAAUUCAGUUGUUUAUUUAUUGAAUAACUUAUUAUCCUGUCUUCAACGUCCAUAUAAACUGUACUGUAUUUAUGACCACUACACUGAUAUCUCAUUUGGCUAAAUAUUUUUAAUU